CCUGAGUGCUGGGGACAAUAGGUCUCUUGGGAGCUAGUGCUGGCUUCUUUUCGAAGUUGCUCCUUGCCACUCUUCUGUAUCAUCCAGGACAGAUCAAUGUCUUCAGCAGCUGCCAGGUGCUUGCUGAUAAUGGAAAGAUCAACACCUUCCACAGUGAGGUUCUUUCAUCAAAGGGAUCCCCAGGAAUCACAAUGAGCAUGUUGACAGCCCAGCUGCACAGCUUCUAACACCUUUCGCCACUAUUCUUUUGGUUCCUUAAGACAGUGCCACAGGUAGAAAUUACCAUUAGCCCAUUUUACAGAGGAGGAAAUAGAGGCUUGUCAAAGGUUGUGGGGAGUGUUUUUAUAUUUAGUGCUCUUCCUAACACAUGGAACCACCCUGGAGAAGCAAGAUGGACACCCUGUGACUGUAUCCACCGUGUAACUGUGUCAAAGGCCGAGAGCUCCCUCCAGAGUCACCCUGUGCCAUUCUGUACAGGCUGGCUCCUAUGUCCAGGCACUGUACUAGGGAGUGCGGGAUAAAAGAGGGCAGCCAUGUUUGGGUACUGCCUUCCAGCUCUGUCUCUAAUACACAGCGCUUGCCUCUCUCGAACGCCACUUUAGACGGACAGCGUGCUCAUCUUGGGACCUGGUUGGAGACUCCAUAACCAGAGACUGAGAACUUCAGCAAGAGAAAGUACUGUGGAAAGGCCAAAGAGAGCCUCCAAGCCUGAUCCACCUAGAAGGCGACAGCCGAGAGUUACGGGGAGUUACAGCGAGUUAAGUACUCGCUGAAGGACAAGAACCUGGCGCAAGCUCUUCCAAGAAUGGUACAGCUAUAGGCCCUGAAAGAACGCUCACAGCAAUGAGGUUUGAUGUUAGUCACUGGGAAAGAGAUGGGCCACAUCUGCUCUCCUUCUCUGUUACUGCGCUCUAUCAGCACGCUGUGGAAGGUGGGGUCUGCCCCCCCCAACCCCCAUGUGUUCUAUAGGAGUGGAAGGCUAGGGGAAAGAGGAAAGACCGGAAGAUAAAGGACCAGAAUGUUAACACUGGCUUCAUUGAGGGGACUUGGCUUUCUAAUUUUGGCUUUGUUUUUGUGUAUUUCCUAAACUGGCUUUAACAUCAUGUUCCAUCAAGAGGAGAAAAAAAAAUUAAAGAAUAAGGAAAAUCUGAA